rnacentral:rRNA from 1 species
GACAGAGGGCCCGAGCGUUGGGCGGAAUCACUGGGCUUAAAGCGCGUGUAGGCGGACAGGUAAGUACCUUGUGAAAUCCCACGGCUCAACCGUGGAACUGCUUGGUAUACUGCCUGUCUUGAGCCAGCUAGGGGCAACCGGAACAAAUGGUGGAGCGGUGAAAUGCGUAGAUAUCAUUUGGAACGCCAAUGGUGAAACCAGGUUGCUGGGGCUGUGCUGACGCUGAGACACGAAAGCUAGGGGAGCAAACGGG